GUCCCUCUCUCUCCCUCUCUCUCUCUUCUCUCUCCGUCCCUCUCUCUCUCUUCUCUCUCCGUCCCUCUCUCUCUUCUCUCUCCGUCCCUCUCUCUCUUCUCUCUCCGUCCCUCUCUCUCUCUUCUCUCUCCGUCCCUCUCUCUCUCUUCUCUCUCCGUCCCUCUCUCUCUCUUCUCUCUCCGUCCCUCUCUCUCUCUUCUCUCUCUCUUCCCUCUCCUCUCUUCUCUCUCCCUCCCUCUCUCUUCUCUCUCCGUCCCUCUCUCUCUCUUCUCUCUCCGUCCCUCUCUCUCUCUUCUCUCUCCGUCCCUCCCUCUCUCUUCUCUCUCCGUCCCUCUCUCUCUCUUCCUCUCCGUCCCUCUCUCUCUCUUCUCUCUCUCUUCCCUCUCUCUCUCUUCUCUCUCCGUCCCUCUCUCUCUCUUCUCUCUCUCUUCCCUCUCUCUCUCUUCUCUCUGUCUUCCCUCUCUCUCUCUUCCCUCUCUCUCUCUUCUCUCUCCCUCCCUCUCUCUUCUCUCUCCGUCCCUCUCUCUCUCUUCUCUCUCCGUCCCUCUCUCUCUCUUCUCUCUCCGUCCCUCCCUCUCUCUUCUCUCUCCGUCCCUCUCUCUCUCUUCUCUCUCCGUCCCUCUCUCUCUCUUCUCUCUCUCUUCCCUCUCUCUCUCUUCUCUCUCCGUCCCUCUCUCUCUCUUCUCUCUCCGUCCCUCUCUCUCUCUUCCCUCUCUCUCUCUUCUCUCUCCGUCCCUCUCUCUCUCUUCUCUCUCCGUCCCUCUCUCUCUCUUCUCUCUCUCUUCCCUCUCUCUCUCUUCUCUCUCCGUCCCUCUCUCUCUCUUCUCUCUCUCUUCCCUCUCUCUCUCUUCCCUCUCUCUCUCUUCUCUCUCCCUCCCUCUCUCUUCUCUCUCCGUCCCUCUCUCUCUCUUCUCUCUCCGUCCCUCUCUCUCUCUUCUCUCUCCGUCCCUCCCUCUCUCUUCUCUCUCCGUCCCUCUCUCUCUCUUCUCUCUCCGUCCCUCUCUCUCUCUUCUCUCUCUCUUCCCUCUCUCUCUCUUCUCUCUCUCUUCCCUCUCUCUCUCUUCUCUCUCCGUCCCUCUCUCUCUUCUCUCUCCGUCCCUCUCUCUCUCUUCUCUCUCUCUUCCCUCUCUCUCUCUUCUCUCUCUCUUCCCUCUCUCUUAAAGCUCAUAAUAUGUGAACCGAUGUGGCAAGAAAUACCUUGUUUUUACCCUCUCUUUGCAUCUGUCUCUGGAACCUACUGGUUGCCAUGGAGAAUGGUGUUGAACAUGCUGUACAGAACCCUUCCUCUGUCUCGUUCCUCCCUCCCUCCCCCUCCCUCCCUCCCUCCCUC
rnacentral:lncRNA from 1 species